UAGCCUACAAUUUAUGUGUGGCAAUAAAUUCCAUCUGAUCAUGUGGCCUGAAACUGCUGUACAUUUUCCAAAAAUUUCGUCUCUUGCUGCACGUACCGUCUGUACGCGUUUCGUCACCUGCAGAUAUACUUCAGAACAGUAAAAGUGAUUAUGUUGGUCAACUUUUGAACCCUAAGAUUACACAUUUAGCAUGGUGAAGUCUGAACUUUUUAAUUGCAGUGCAAUGUGCACAUGGAUUUGUUGCAGCCAGCUGGCGAAAGGUGUUCCUCUUGCAGGCUUGCUACCUGUACCAGUUGUAGCUUUCGUCACAUGCAG